ACUAAAAAAGUUUAGAAAAACAUCAGCCUGUGGCACUGAAGACGCCAGUUAAAACCUGGCUUUAAGUC
rnacentral:tRNA from 1 species